GUAAAGACUGUGAUGAGGAAUAGUAAAUUUGUCGUUCUUUUUAGAGAGCUAGCGGCUGGUGGGAGCUAGUAAGAAAGCAAGUUGAACUCGCCUUCUGAGUCUGCCCGCGUGAAACAGCGUGUGUCGUUUCUUCCGCGUUAAGGAAGCUUGAGCCGAGUGUAAUCACUAAUUUGGGUGGUACCGCGGGAGUACAAAUUCUCUCGUCCCUUCU
rnacentral:ncRNA from 1 species